CAUCGAUGAAGAGCGCAGCGAAAUGCGAUACGUGAUGCGAAUUGCAGAAUCCCGUGAACCAUCGAGUCUUUGAACGCAAGUUGCGCCCGAGGCCUAUCGGCCAAGGGCACGUUCGCCUGGGCGUCAAGCGUUGCAUCGCUCCGUGCUAUCUCCAUCCCAUCUAUGGGUGGGUUGGAAAGGGCUCAGAUGCGUAGAGUGGCUCCUCGUGCCUAUGGUGCGGCGAGCUGAAGAUUGCAGUAUUAUCUCAUUUGGCUGGGAGAAACAAGGGGUGGAUAUAAAAAAUUCCUAUGCUGUUUUGUGCCGGUAUAAAAAGAGAUAAGACUCAUUUGAUCCAAACCCAUGCGCAUGUCCAAAGUCAGCGGCAUGGAAUGCGACCCCAGGAUGGGCGAGGUCACCCGCUGAGUUUAAGCAUAUCAAC
rnacentral:rRNA from 1 species